UACGUAGGGUCCGAGCGUUGUCCGGAAUUACUGGGCGUAAAGAGCUCGUAGGUGGUUUGUCGCGUUGUUCGUGAAAACUCACAGCUUAACUGUGGGCGUGCGGGCGAUACGGGCAGACUGGAGUACUGCAGGGGAGACUGGAAUUCCUGGUGUAGCGGUGGAAUGCGCAGAUAUCAGGGAGGAACACCGGUGGCGAAGGCGGGGUCUCUGGGCAGUAACUGACGCUGGAGGAGCGAAAGCCGUGGGGGAGCGAACAGGA
rnacentral:rRNA from 1 species